rnacentral:lncRNA from 1 species
CUAAUUUACAGAGAGGCUCAAUGCUUGUUCACUGGACAUAAGGACCAAAACUCUAACCACUGUCUCACCUAGCUCUGCCUCAGAAGGAAAUAAAUGAAGGAGGAAGAAAUGGAGGGAGAGGAAGAGAGCAGAGAAGAGAAAUGGAGAAAGGAUAGUAAUAUUUAAAGAGAAGUCAAACAACUAUUGCUAUACUGGAGUUAUUUCAUGCAGUAGAGUGGGGAACUUGAAGUCAGGAAGAACUUACUACUUAAGUAACCUGAAACAAAUCACUUGGAUUCUUUCUGCUUCCAUUUCUUCACCUAUAAAAUCCAAGUUUUGGAGUCUUGCAGUCUUGCAAAAGGUAUCCUUCCUGAACCCCAAAGGGAUCCUUCCUGCCCAUAACAUUUUGGCUCCCAGAAGAACGAGGGAAACCACAGGGGUACACAUUGACCACCAUAACAUUUUGAUGCCCAAUGUUUUUGGCCUUGGAUCAUCCACAAGGACACAGCCUCUCAGAUGAGGAAAUUGAAGAAAGAGAUGCAAUGCAUCUUGUAAAUGCACCGUGUUUUCCCUAACAUCAUUGAUGUGAAAAAAUUUGAGAAGUUGUACAAAUAAAAGGUUUUGGUUAAUUAUUUAAAAUAAUAUG